UGCGUAGGCGGAUUAAUAAGUCAGUGGUGAAAUCUUUCGGCUCAACCGAGAAACUGCCAUUGAUACUGUUAAUCUUGAGUUCGGUUGAGGUAGGCGGAAUGUGUAAUGUAGCGGUGAAAUGCUUAGAUAUUACACAGAACACCAAUUGCGUAGGCAGCUUACGAGACCGACACUGACGCUGAGGCACGAAAGCGUGGGGAGCGAACAGGAUUAGAUACCCUGGUAGUCC
rnacentral:rRNA from 1 species